ensembl:lncRNA
AUAUAGCGGGCUAUACAAACAGAAAAACAGCCGUUCGAUCAGUUACACCUAUACAUACAAGUAAAAAAAGCAUUAGGCACCUGGCACAAUUCUAUUAGGACCUAAUUCUGACAACAAUACACGUCAUUAUAGUGGGAUCUGAUAAUGAGCAAACACUGGAGGCAUUACACGUCUUUAGAAGAAUCAGACUUCCUACCUUAUUAAGACUGAUAGAAGGUAAGUCCCCCUUUAAAGAAAGUUGUAAGUAAAACCAGGCAGCAGUUGCAGUAAAUUGAGUCCUUUCAGUCACUGUAUACAUGCAGCAGUUCUGCAAUAAGGGAAAAAAUAUAAUGGGAGGAGCAGCUGUGAACGAGUGACCUCCUGAAGCUGAGUUCUCUUUGUGAAUCAAGCACGGGGAGCCAGUGCCUCUGAUUUGCAUGGAUUAUCUCCACUUGAACAGAUACAUUUAAAUUAACUGGCACAGGGGCACAGAGAUAAAAAGAAAAAAAAAAGGGGGGGGGGGGAGGAAAAGUAAGUGAGUGAGGGAAGGAGAACAGGAGCGAAGGAGAGCGGGGAAGAAGAGAGGAGAGCAGACGCUCAGCUGGGUACGCAGCUCAGGCAGAGCUGUACCUCGGAAGAGCUACAGCUCCCUCUUCAUGUCACUGCUGCGAGAUGAGGAAAGCUGUCAUUAUGGCCGAGAAGAGUGGAGAUGCACUGGCACAGGUCACUAUCCCUGGAGGCAAUCAAGAACUGUGGAGAUGUGGCACUGAGGGGCAUGGUGGAGACAGAUUGGACACAAUGAACUUAAUGAUCCUUUCCAACCUUGAUGAUGCUGUGAUGCUGUGCAGACUUUUGUGAUCCUCCACAUGCAGUCAUACUGCUUGGAAAUUAUCCCAAAAGUUAGGAAAGCAAAGUAGAACAGCUGAUCACACGUUUCCUGAGUCAGCAGUCAAAAAUACGAAGGAAUAUGAAACCUACUCAUUGAGAAAUAGUAUCUGGUGAGAUUUGGUGGGACAAAUUGUCCUGUAUUGGCAGUUAAAACUGUUCAGCUGAACUCUGGCUUGUAGGAAUGUUGUCUUCUGCAAAAUACUGCUUGUUCGUUGAUCAAUAACCUGAAACUGUAAAGACAACAAGGGCUAAACUCUGUCUCCAGCUCAUUUGUGGAUUGAGCUCAGUCCAACAAACAUUUGUUGUGUUUCCAUUGCUGAACUAUGUUUCUAAGGAAAAGCCUAUGGAGUUUUCUCUGCAGGAUCCAACAUUUACUUAUAAUGCAGAUUCCAAAAUGAUGCCUCUGCCUGAACAGAAUAUAUGGUAAUAACAGAUUAAUUUGACUCCUUCGGAGCACUGAGAAGCCAAGUGUUAAUGUCAAACCUGUAUAUAGUAGCUGUGGAAAGCUGCAUCCUGACUGAGGGCUUUGAAAAAUAUGGACUGUGAACCAAAUUUGCUCCUGUUUCUCUUUACUCCCUGAUACGCUUGUCAGCAUUUCAGAAUGCCAAGCUAAUAAUGGCAUAACAAUUCAGUCCCAAGAAACCAUAUGCCCACAAACAUAAAGAAAUAACCAACAAUGAGGGCGGCUUUCACCUUAAAAGUACAGUAAGAAGAAAUGACAAUGUAAGGAAUCAAGACAGUUGUGGAUGAUACAUGACAAUAAGGACAGUACAAACUGGUUGCGGAAACUGUGGGAUGUGUCUUAUUCUCUGGAAAGAUUUGUAUGCCUGAAGUGUCAUCUGCUAAAAUUCACGAAGAGAAGACCUUAAGAGAGAUGUGGCUGGAGGCAAUGUUAAAUGAAGUCGUGGAUUUGGGAAAAGGUGUAAGAGAAAGAAAACUGAAUAGGGCAACUGGGAAUUUACAGACCCUUGUUGAGUGAGAGGACUUGUGAGAGAAAAAGAACAAGCAGAACAACAGGGAGAUAGAGAAAAGUUAAAAAAUAUGUUUGCCAUCUGGGAGACAAGAAAAAUACAACAGACAAAACCAAAACAGAAGGUAGAAAAAAAGUGAAAAAGUUAAUUCUAGCAGAGUGCUGGAGACUAGAAGCCAAAGAUGAGUAAGAAUGGUAGAGUAGUUUGUGAGGAAAAAGAACAAGAGGCAGGAUAAUUUAUGAACAGAGUGUAAAGUAAAUUAAGAAGAAAAAAAUUAAUGCCUACAUGCAUUUUGAGUCUGUUAAAGAAAAACAACGAAUACAGAAAAAUCCUUUUCUGUAUAUAUAAAUAAUUAAAUACAUAUAUAUAUAUUUAUUCACAGUGGGAAAGGGAUGCAAGGAAAUUUCCACUGGACUAAAUCAAAUAUAAUUAAAGUAAAUAAUUUUGUUUUAGGUAGGGAAAAAAUGACAAAAAAGCAAAGCUCAUGGGAACUGUAUCUCACUGAAUAACCAUGGAAAAAGUGGGAUUGAAAUGCAUAUUAUUAAAGCAAAACAAAUCUUAAGAAAUACAAGGAAAUCUUGGUAGAUAUUCAUGUAAUCUUCAUGCCUUCUUACUGUGCACAACCAGAAGAAAAUCUGGUCAACAAAAAUUCAACUAUGCUAGAGGAAUUACCAGUGGAUAAUCAGGAAAGAGGCAAAUAUUAUAUAGUAGGAGCAAGGUAUUGAAGAGUACAUAUUAUUCAGGAAAGAUGUGAUUAAAACAGGUGACCUUGUAGAUCUGCCUUCUAGUAAUGUGGCAGAUUGCUUGGGCCAAAUUAAUGAAUGCGUUUACCAAGAAGUCAAAAGCCAGGGAAAUAUGAAACUAUUUCUGUCUUUUUUCUAAUAUACAAUACAGUUACUGUGAAGAAACUGUUCAAAAAACUCAUGAGUUCACUCAUUAAAAUGAAAUGGAAUAAUCAGUAAAAAUGAGGCUUUAUAUUUCAGGGGACAGAUUUGGUAACCUAAAAGGUCUUGUGAGUGAAAUCAAAUAGACUGAUCUAUACAGAGUUUUGAACGUGGAGAAGUCUUGGAAUUAUUUUACAUUUAAGUUGAUAAACCUGCGUGGAAUGUAUAUCUGAAGGAAUGGAGAAAUUUGUGAGAAAGUGGUCAAGCUAUUCCAUGCAAAUGAAGAACUUUCUCAAGAAGAAUAUUAGAGAAAAGACUUAUCAGCAGACACAGAUGUGUUUUAGAGGUCAGAAGUAGAAAGUACAGUGAAAAGUGUCAGUAGUCAAACUGAACUGCAAUUUUGCAUGGAUAUUAAACAGCAGAACAGUCAGUUAAGCAAGAUGAGAACAAAUAAAACAUGGGACAUCUAUACAAAGAGGGUUAAGUGAAAAUAAAUAAAUAUCUAUUUAAAAUAAAAAAACUCAGUGACUACUUAGCAUAAGUUUUCAGUAAUAUUGACCACAGAGGAAACAGGAUAAAUAAUAGGAAUGAAGUCAAAAUUAUAGAAAUUAGGAAACUGGAAACAAAGCUAAAAGCACAGUGCAUUUAGACUGGGGAGGGAUAUCAAAUAAACCCUAUCCCACAACCACAAGAAAGAGAACGUGAAACUCCAAACCCAAUUGGAAGGAUCCCAGACAUGUCUGACUGGGUAACAGCAAAUGCAUUAUCUGUUUCUGAGAGAGAGGCCUAUGCAGUUACGAACCCCUUAGCUUGACCUCACUUGCUUUAGAAAAAAUGUUGAAGGAAAAAUGUAAUUGAAGGCAGGGUGGUAAAUGGAAAAUGGGAUAGCAUGCAAAAAGGAUUUACUAAAGAUAGAUUGUGCCAAGUAAAUGUGUUAUCUCUCUUUAAUGAGAUAACUGAUUUCUAGACAAAGGAUUUGUGAUACAUCUUAUUUAUAUCUGUGCUGCGUAUGAUACAGCAUCACAUAGGAAACCAGGGAUUAGGAGAAGAGUUGUAAAGUGGGUAAGAAGAGAUUGUCUAACAGAUAGAUGGCAACAGGUGGUAUUGAAAGAAGCAGUGUCAAACCGUAGGAAGUUUACUAGCAGGAAUCCUCAAAAAUCAGUGUUGGGAUCAACUUAAAAAAAAAAGUCCAAGUAUAAAGAAAUGAAGUACAAAUUCUGCAGUUUCCAUUAAGCCAGAAAACUGUCACUACAAAAGAAGAAUAACUGAUUUUUUUCUUACUUAAAACACACAUGCACAAGUAUUUUGUAUACACACACACAUAAAGGACGUAUUAUAAAUACAAUAUCAUAUUUUACAAGAAGAGAAAUAAUCAUGGCUCCAUGAAGGCCUGAAUGUGUGAGCGUGUGGCUUUGCCUGAAAUUCCAUGCAAGUUCUUCGACACUCAGAGUCAAGAAAAUAUGCUAAAUCUAAAACAACUGCUGAGAAGGCAACUGCAAUGCCCAGCAGAGUGGAGAGCCAUCACUCCAGGAACGGAAUUAAAAGUUUUGCUGGUUUUGUAAGGGAAUGCAAAAAGCUGAAAGGCAUUAUAGCUGAUGUCUAUAAAUGUAUUAUUAUACACCAGGUUGGAAAACAUCUGUAUGAACUUAUGGGAUGAAGCUGAAAAAAAAAAAGAAAAGCAUCUUGUGUUCAGAUAAGAAAUAGGGAAGUGAUUCUAACAAUCAGAAUUGUGAAAUUUCAAAACAGACUUCCUAAAUUUGUGUUAAGAGUAAAAAACUAAACAAAAACUACUGCAUUUUAAUGGAGAAUUAUUCUUUUAUUAAAGUCAUUGCACCUGGUCAGCUAUGCAAUUAGAAAAUUAGAUUCAAGAUAUUCCUUACUUUUUUCCCCAGUUUGCAUUGAACAUAUUGACCUGUCAUAUGUCUUCUCCCUCCCAGUUUUUUAGUGCCAAUCAGUAUCUUUGUUGUUGCUGAAGAAUUGAGCAGAUUCAAUGGUGCGUCACCUAAGAAUAGGCUGUCCAUUGAUUCACUGUGCAGUCUUUCCAUUUCUACCCUUUAUUCUGAAACAUGCCUGAUGAGGAAAGAUUCUGAUACGGGUACAGUGAUUAUCUUGGCAUCUGGCACAGAACCUAUUAGGCCCUCCAUCCAAGACAACUAAUAAAAAGGAGUAUUGAAAGGUACAAGGCACAAGAUAACAUAGCACAAAGAGACAAGAGUACAGUUUACCAAGAAAAUGUUUCUGAAGCAAAAGAACAAGAAAAGUGCAUUACCUUUUAGCUUGACUGUGAUCAUAGAACAAGUCAGGCAGUGUCAGAGUGAAGGAUGUAGGAAAGAUUAAAGAAAACGGACAAAGAAACGCAGAAACAUUUUUGACUUUACAAGAGGCUUGAUUUUGAUUCACUUAUAAAAGAGGGCCCUUUGAUUUAUUUAGAUCCACGUGAACUUCCUUGCUCAGCAAUUGUACAACCUGUUAACAAUUCUCUGCUGAUUAGACAAUGGGAAAAUAGAAAAGAACCAGUCAUGGUUAUAGCAGCAGAAAAGCCAUGUACAUUCUAACAACUGGCUAUCACCUUCACAGGACAUUGCUACAUUCCAGAGAGAAAAGUCCAGCAGAAGCAGCUAAGUACCUACAAGACAGAUGAAUAUGCAAAGACAUGAAUGUGCUUGCUGUUUGUGCUGUGUUUAUUUCCAUUCCCAAUAUUGGUGGACAUGAACAUCAACAAUAAGCAAACACAUUCAGAUGAAUUAAAAGCUCCUGGAUUUCUCAUAACUUAUCAUGAAUUUAUAUUAAAACUGUAACUAAAACCCAUUCACCAAAAUUAUCAGUAAAAAAAAAUUAUCUGAAGUACUUCCAGCGUGCCCAGAGCCAAUAAAUUCC